GUCUACGGUCUUGCUACCCUAAACAAGCCCGAUCCCAUCUGAUCUCGGAAGCUAAAGCACGGUCAGGCCUGGUUAGUACCUGGAUGGGAGACCACCUAGGAAGACCAGGUGCUUGCUGUAGGUG
ensembl:rRNA 5S_rRNA 5S ribosomal RNA